UAUGAUGAAAUACUUAACUAAUUAUAAUACUGGGAGGAAUUAUAUUUUAUGUAGCUAUGAAGAUAAAGUGAUAGUGCUACGAGGAAAAAAGAUUUAUCUCAGGCAUCAUUGAAGUAGGAACAAUUUAGUUGGGUCUCAAGUCUUUUCUAUGAAUAAUCUGAUCUAGGAAGAAGAAAAUACAUUAACAACUUAGCUGAAAACCUCAUUUUAAAAAAGUAAAAGUAACCACUCAGUUUUGUUUUACUUAUUUUUUUCCCAUUUUUUAUUCUUGGUGGGAUGAGCGUGAAUGAGGCAGAUGAGGAGGACAGAUUUAAAUGUUGGUUCAUGCUGCACUUUUGGAAAAUCUCAGAGGAGAAAACCAAAAUUGGUUAAGUCCAUGAUGUGCCUAUCUGCCUGAGUAAAGAGAGAUGAAAGGUGUUGAUAGGCCAAGGUCUGUCAUGUGUAGUUCCUUUAUUGGGGAUUUUACCCACAGCCCCUGCUUAGGGAGUCAUAAUUGGCAUUGCCAAUGUCUGCACAGGUAGUUUGAUUCUGUCUGUAUAUCUUCACAGCCAGACAUCUGUCUGACCAGGACAGGGCAUUUUGUCUGUGGGCAGCCAAUCCACGGCUGGGAAAUGGUCUGCCGCAUGGGCUACUGUGAAAGCGUUGACCCACCAGCAAUAACUCUUCAGUUAGAUCCAGCCUCAUGCCUAUCUUGGGAAUGGCAAACUGGAGAGAGAAUGAAGUGAGAACUUGUAGCAAAAAUGGAAGGAUGAAUGGAGAGAGCCAUGAAGCUGCAGAGGAUAAGUGAAGUCAGAAGCCUUAACACAAAGAACAUCCCAAGGAGAGUGAUGUGGUCAGUUAUUAGUAUCGGAAGCCAUAGAACAUGAGACAGAAAAGUUGCAGUCAUUAUAAAGAUAUCAGAUCAAUGAUUUCUACUUGUCAAAGAAGAGAUGAAACAUCGGGUGCCUAAAGCUUCCCUUAUUCAAUCUGUGCAGUUCCAGACCUGGGUCCUUCACUCUGCAAAGUCUACAGCUGUCCCAAUGCCACCUGAAGUCUCACUUAUCUUCACGCUUUCUCAGCUGCCUCUUCCCCUCCCCACAUGACAGGAGACAGUAGCAAGGAGUCUCUGCUCCUUGAACAAUUGAAUGAAUGAAUGAAUGAAUGAACCUAAGAAAACUAGAACAAAGAAAAUCUUUCCCCAAUGGAAUCUUACAAGUUUCAUGGAUUCUAAGGGAGUGAGUGCAUGCUUCUGAUCAAAGUUCUAACCAAGGUUAGUGGGACCUGAAGUUUGAACAGUUGGAAUGGGCCUCUUUAAGACAAGGAGUUGAAAUAAUCUCAUUUGCUGUAUGUGAAUACGUAGAAUUAACUGGCACCUGAGUAAGCAGGGAACCCUAAAGCUGCAGCUCCUCUAGCGUCAUGGUGAAUCUGGUAUGAAAUGGAAGGGAGAAGAAUACAAAGGAAAAGUGAAGUAUUUCCAAGCAUCAUCUUAUUCACUGUUUGCCUAGGCCUGACUCUGGCAGAAACUUUGGAAAUUCUUGUUACUUAUUGACAGUAGUGCUAAAGGAGUUUAUGACUUUAGUAAUUGGAUUGGUCUUCCUUCAAAGACUUUUGGUCACAUAUGUGCCCUUAAAAAGUAUAUCUGUUAAAGUUAUUAUUGGAAAUCAAGUAUUUUUAAUCUUUCUGAGGUCCUAAUACAUAGUAUUUCAUUCCAACGAUAUAUAAUAUUGAUCAUCAAAUAAUUCUGUUCACUCACCAGUGGUAACACAGAAUAUCUUUACCAAGGUUUGCUUUUCUUUUUGGUACCCACUUUUUCCCAAAGGCUGAACAUAAAAUUUAUUAUUAUUGAUCUAUCUUUCAGUAUAGUGCAGAAAUCUUUUGGAUUAGAUAUUUUCAUCUUUACUUGGUUUAGUUUUAUACUUAAAUUCCUACCGAAGCUGACUUGUCAAACAUUUGGAUAAGUAUUGAAGAGAUAAUCUGUUUACUUCAUCCUGCUAUUUGCGGGUGACUAAAUCCAAUGUGAAAUUUCUAGAAUAUUCAUGUGUAAUAUUUCACUAUGUUUAAAAUUAGUUCUCCUUUAUUCAUUUAAACAAUAAGAAUUAAUCCAGAGUCUUCUAUGACUUCAAUAUUCUGCUUUGAGGUAAAAAGAUAAAUUAUAUAUCCAUAAUCCCUGAUUUCAACAUGUGUUUAUUUUAAACAAGAUAUAAAUGCAGCCCACAUGAAACCAACUAUUAUUACCUAUAGGAGCUAAAGUAUGGAUGCUAAUUCUGAUGGCAACCGCAUUAAGUUGUGUAUGGCUAGACACAGGAGUGGGAGGUUAAUAUGAAGAGAGCAGCAGCGGGAUGGUGGGGCAGAGAGACAGGAAGCCACUUGAGAAGAAACAAGGGGAAGAAGGGUGACUGAAGCUCACUGGCCAUGGCAGAGGCUUGAAGGAAAAUGUCCCGGUAGUGUGGGGGAUCUGUGUGGAGGACUAGUGACAACAAAGAUGAAAUGAAUAAGAAGCAGCAGGACUGAUGUAAAUCUUACGGAUUUUUUUUUUUUUGUUACCGUAGUACAGGACAUAAAGUCAUUGAGAUUUUUUGAGUGUGGGAAUGACUUGACUGUGCUACCAAGGGUUAAACAGCACUGUGUUUACAGUCAAACAGAUCAGUGUUUGAUUAAUGUCUCUGCAACUUACUACUUGUGUAACUUUGGAACGCACCUUUCCUUAAACUUCCUAAACCUGACUUCCUUCAUCUAUAAAUAAACGGUGGUAUUAAUGGUUCUAUGCUUCAUAGUAUUAUUAUGAAUUUUUAAUGAAGUAAUGAAUAUAAACAUAUAGGACUGGCAUCUGGGGACAUAGUAAAAACUCAAUGUAUAAUAACUUCUGUCAUGAUUUCCAAAGUUACAAUCCAGUAUGGUUAGUGUUGCAGUGUCGCUCAUUACCCAAAUGGGAGAACAGCGAAGAUUUUUGUUUUUGUUUUUCAAAUGUAUUGAGUUUAAGACAAAAAUGAAGCAUGUAAUAAGAUGUUACCAAUGAAAGCAAUAUAUGUAUUUUUAGGUCGCAUUAUUUUAUUUAGGUCCCUGGAUAACACAGAAUAGUUUGUGAUAGUAUAGAUUUGGAUGCACCGUUUAUACACAGUAAAGAGAAAUAAAAAUUUAAACAAUUAGCAGAUUAAUUUUCAUCUCAAUUUGUACCUUUCAUUGCAACCUAAAAACACUGAUGAGUUGUGAUUGCUUAACAUGAGCCAUUUGGAUAAGUGCAUUCACUCGGGGGUUAGUAGAAUCCAUGCUGGGAGAUGCAAGGAGGAGGCUCUAUUUUGGAUGUGAGCUCUUCUGUCCAAUUACUUUAUCAUACUCUGCAUCUGAGAGGUUACAGAAAGGGCUAGGAUUGAAUUGAGGACAGGAAACAGGCUACAGAUGGGUCAGGGCUAUAUCAAACUCGCUGUUUUUUCCAUUUUCAGCCUGAUCUAUGCGACCAACCAAAAAGAAAGGAGAAGGGAGGAAAAUCUAAAUUCUGGGUUCAGAUCAAAAUGUACUGACUUUGAUUCUUUGAUGAAGAAGGGGACUAUUAUGACAUAUAAAAGUUAAGUUGAAUGUCCCCUAGUUCUUGGUAGAGUUCAGAAGCUGAAUAUUUGCCUUGUGUAUUUGUCUUUGUUCCUUCUUUGAAAAAAAAAAAAACAAAACAACUCAGCCAGUAAUUUUGAUGUUCCCUGUUCAAAUAUUGAUCACCCGCAUCUCUUCCACAUGCUUGAAUGCAAUGCCAGAAUGGCUGCAUAUUGAAGCUGUGUCAUUGUUUUCAGUGCUUAAACAAGACAGGGGAACAAUCUCUUCCCCAGCAGCAGAGCGAAUUGUGAUGCUAGAAUCCCUUAGCCUCCACCAGGUCCCCGAGAAGCUAACUGAAGUGUUUCUUCCAUACUCUUCCGCCAAGUACAUCCUUUUACCCCCCACAGAUGGAUACAAUUUCUCCUUUAUAUAUAUUUCAUUCUUCAGUUGAAGCAGUCAAGGAAAUGAUUUUCCCUGCUGCUUGCCCCACUGACUUACAGCCCUCUGUCUGUGUGAGAUCCAGCUUGAUGAGAUUUUCUUUGUCAUUGCUGCUGAAGAAUCUGUUUCUUUGGAGUUCUACCUAGAACUAUGUUGUGCCACCUGCAAAACUUCCUGCCCUCUUGUGCGGUCAGCAAACCCCACUUCCCCCCUCCAUUUGCAGCUUCACUGUAUAAUAUCAGAUAUUUCCCUGGAACUUGGACUCCGUGGAAUAGGUGUUGUCAAACAUACCAAAAUUCUUAUUUUUAUGUUUUAACUAUUGAUAGUAUUUACAAGUAGAGAAGACAUUCUCCCUGAGGGUUUAUCGUCUG